GAUUUUCCAUUGAAAACUGAGGAGCUUUUGCCUUUACUUGAUAUAUUAGCCAACAAGGUCAAAGCCGUUAGGAGGCUUAGGGAGCUUUUGACAACUAAAUUACCUCAAGGAACAUUUCCUGUCAAGGUUGCCAUCCCAAUUGUCCCAACUAUUCGGGUGCUUGUUACUUUUACAAAAUUUGAGGAGCUUCAGCCAGUGGAGGAGUUCUCAACCCCCCUCUCCAGCCCAGCACAUUUCCAAGAUGCCAAAUCCAAGGAAGCAGAAGCGUCCACAUCGUGGAUUUCAUGGAUGAGAGGGAGCCAUGUUGGACAAUCAAGUGAUAGUGAUAGUCACAGAUAUAAGGAUGAGGUUGAACCAUUCAACAUACCAUCUGACUAUACUUGGGUUGAUGCCAAUGAGAAGAAACGCCGCAUGAAGGCCAAGAAAUCGAAGAGUAAGAAACACAGGAAACAGACUCCAGCAAGAG
rnacentral:misc_RNA from 1 species